AGUGAACGCUGGCGGUAGGCCUAAUACAUGCAAGUCGAACGGCAGCACAGUAAGCGCUUUCUCUUACGGGUGGCGACUGGCGGACGGGUGAGGCAUACAUCAGAAUCUUCUAUUUCGGGGGUAAUAACGGGAGACAACUUAUGCUACUACCGCAUACUUCCUACGGCUUAAAUCAAAAGUUCUUGACGCCUUGCCCGACUCAAUGAGCCGAUGUCGGAUUAGCUAGUUGGCGGGGUAACGGCCCACCAAGGCGACGAUCCGUAGCUGGUCUGAGAGGAUGAUCAGCCACACUGGAACUGAGACACGGUCCAGACUCCUACGGGAGGCAGCAGUGGGGAAUAUUGGACAAUGGGCGAAAGCCUGAUCCAGCAAUACCGCGUGGGUGAAGAAGGCCUUCGGGUUGUAAAGCCCUUUUGUUAGGAAAGAAAAGCAGUAGGUGAAUACCUGGCUGUUCUGACGGUACCCAAAGAAUAAGCCCCGGCUAACCUCGUG
rnacentral:rRNA from 1 species